rnacentral:rRNA from 1 species
UACGAGGGGGGCGAGCGUUUGUUCGGAAUUAUUGGGCGUAAAGGGUGCGUAGGCGGUUUGGUAAGUCUGAUGUGAAAUCUAUGGGCUCAACUCAUAGUCUGCAUCGGAAAACUGCCGGGCUUUGAGUGUGGGAGAGGUGAGUGGAAUUCCUGGUGUAGCGGUGAAAUGCGUAGAUAUCAGGAGGAACACCUGUGGCGAAGGCGGCUCUCUGGGGACGGUACUGAGCUGAGACGCGAAAAGUGU